UUAAGCGACUAAGCGUACACGGUGGAUGCCCUGGCAGUCAGAGGCGAUGAAGGACGUGCUAAUCUGCGAUAAGCGUCGGUAAGGUGAUAUGAACCGUUAUAACCGGCGAUUUCCGAAUGGGGAAACCCAGUGUGUUUCGACACACUAUCAUUAACUGAAUCCAUAGGUUAAUGAGGCGAACCGGGGGAACUGAAACAUCUAAGUACCCCGAGGAAAAGAAAUCAACCGAGAUUCCCCCAGUAGCGGCGAGCGAACGGGGAGCAGCCCAGAGCCUGAAUCAGUGUGUGUGUUAGUGGAAGCGUCUGGAAAGGCGCGCGAUACAGGGUGACAGCCCCGUACACAAAAAUGCACAUGCUGUGAGCUCGAUGAGUAGGGCGGGACACGUGGUAUCCUGUCUGAAUAUGGGGGGACCAUCCUCCAAGGCUAAAUACUCCUGACUGACCGAUAGUGAACCAGUACCGUGAGGGAAAGGCGAAAAGAACCCCGGCGAGGGGAGUGAAAAAGAACCUGAAACCGUGUACGUACAAGCAGUGGGAGCACGCUUAGGCGUGUGACUGCGUACCUUUUGUAUAAUGGGUCAGCGACUUAUAUUCUGUAGCAAGGUUAACCGAAUAGGGGAGCCGAAGGGAAACCGAGUCUUAACUGGGCGUUAAGUUGCAGGGUAUAGACCCGAAACCCGGUGAUCUAGCCAUGGGCAGGUUGAAGGUUGGGUAACACUAACUGGAGGACCGAACCGACUAAUGUUGAAAAAUUAGCGGAUGACUUGUGGCUGGGGGUGAAAGGCCAAUCAAACCGGGAGAUAGCUGGUUCUCCCCGAAAGCUAUUUAGGUAGCGCCUCGUGAAUUCAUCUCCGGGGGUAGAGCACUGUUUCGGCAAGGGGGUCAUCCCGACUUACCAACCCGAUGCAAACUGCGAAUACCGGAGAAUGUUAUCACGGGAGACACACGGCGGGUGCUAACGUCCGUCGUGAAGAGGGAAACAACCCAGACCGCCAGCUAAGGUCCCAAAGUCAUGGUUAAGUGGGAAACGAUGUGGGAAGGCCCAGACAGCCAGGAUGUUGGCUUAGAAGCAGCCAUCAUUUAAAGAAAGCGUAAUAGCUCACUGGUCGAGUCGGCCUGCGCGGAAGAUGUAACGGGGCUAAACCAUGCACCGAAGCUGCGGCAGCGACACUAUGUGUUGUUGGGUAGGGGAGCGUUCUGUAAGCCUGUGAAGGUGUACUGUGAGGUAUGCUGGAGGUAUCAGAAGUGCGAAUGCUGACAUAAGUAACGAUAAAGCGGGUGAAAAGCCCGCUCGCCGGAAGACCAAGGGUUCCUGUCCAACGUUAAUCGGGGCAGGGUGAGUCGACCCCUAAGGCGAGGCCGAAAGGCGUAGUCGAUGGGAAACAGGUUAAUAUUCCUGUACUUGGUGUUACUGCGAAGGGGGGACGGAGAAGGCUAUGUUGGCCGGGCGACGGUUGUCCCGGUUUAAGCGUGUAGGCUGGUUUUCCAGGCAAAUCCGGAAAAUCAAGGCUGAGGCGUGAUGACGAGGCACUACGGUGCUGAAGCAACAAAUGCCCUGCUUCCAGGAAAAGCCUCUAAGCAUCAGGUAACAUCAAAUCGUACCCCAAACCGACACAGGUGGUCAGGUAGAGAAUACCAAGGCGCUUGAGAGAACUCGGGUGAAGGAACUAGGCAAAAUGGUGCCGUAACUUCGGGAGAAGGCACGCUGAUAUGUAGGUGAAGUCCCUCGCGGAUGGAGCUGAAAUCAGUCGAAGAUACCAGCUGGCUGCAACUGUUUAUUAAAAACACAGCACUGUGCAAACACGAAAGUGGACGUAUACGGUGUGACGCCUGCCCGGUGCCGGAAGGUUAAUUGAUGGGGUCAGCGCAAGCGAAGCUCUUGAUCGAAGCCCCGGUAAACGGCGGCCGUAACUAUAACGGUCCUAAGGUAGCGAAAUUCCUUGUCGGGUAAGUUCCGACCUGCACGAAUGGCGUAAUGAUGGCCAGGCUGUCUCCACCCGAGACUCAGUGAAAUUGAACUCGCUGUGAAGAUGCAGUGUACCCGCGGCAAGACGGAAAGACCCCGUGAACCUUUACUAUAGCUUGACACUGAACAUUGAGCCUUGAUGUGUAGGAUAGGUGGGAGGCUUUGAAGUGUGGACGCCAGUCUGCAUGGAGCCGACCUUGAAAUACCACCCUUUAAUGUUUGAUGUUCUAACGUUGACCCGUGAUCCGGGUUGCGGACAGUGUCUGGUGGGUAGUUUGACUGGGGCGGUCUCCUCCUAAAGAGUAACGGAGGAGCACGAAGGUUGGCUAAUCCUGGUCGGACAUCAGGAGGUUAGUGCAAUGGCAUAAGCCAGCUUGACUGCGAGCGUGACGGCGCGAGCAGGUGCGAAAGCAGGUCAUAGUGAUCCGGUGGUUCUGAAUGGAAGGGCCAUCGCUCAACGGAUAAAAGGUACUCCGGGGAUAACAGGCUGAUACCGCCCAAGAGUUCAUAUCGACGGCGGUGUUUGGCACCUCGAUGUCGGCUCAUCACAUCCUGGGGCUGAAGUAGGUCCCAAGGGUAUGGCUGUUCGCCAUUUAAAGUGGUACGCGAGCUGGGUUUAGAACGUCGUGAGACAGUUCGGUCCCUAUCUGCCGUGGGCGCUGGAGAACUGAGGGGGGCUGCUCCUAGUACGAGAGGACCGGAGUGGACGCAUCACUGGUGUUCGGGUUGUCAUGCCAAUGGCACUGCCCGGUAGCUAAAUGCGGAAGAGAUAAGUGCUGAAAGCAUCUAAGCACGAAACUUGCCCCGAGAUGAGUUCUCCCUGACCCUUUAAGGGUCCUGAAGGAACGUUGAAGACGACGACGUUGAUAGGCCGGGUGUGUAAGCGCAGCGAUGCGUUGAGCUAACCGGUACUAAUGAACCGUGAGGCUUAACCU
rnacentral:rRNA from 1 species